rnacentral:rRNA from 1 species
AUGUCUUCCUCCAGUGCCACCCAAUCCAAUCUGAGCGGUCAGGUCAUGGAGAAGCUCUCUCGAACGAACUACGUCCUGUGGCGCACCCAAAUCACGCCGCAGUUGAGGGGAGCCGGCCUCUAUGGCUACGUCGACGGCACCCAGCCGGAGCCAUCCCGCCUUCUCGUCACCAAGGACAAGGACAGGAAGGAGUCGUCCGAGCCCAAUCCUCUCCAUCACAUCUGGGUAAGGGAGGACCAGCAGGUUCUAGGCUACCAACUCAACAACCUCACCAAAGAGGUGCUCAUCACGGUCACCGCGGUC